GAGAAAUAUUGAUACACACACACAUACACAGAGCCUAAAGGGAACAGUAUUUGUGCCAUGGAGUGUUAACAAGAAUCUGAGGUCCAUAUUAGAAAAGCUGCUAAAAUCAUAAAAGGUUGCAGAAUUGUAAUAAAUGAUGAAUAUGAAUUAGUGGUCUGUGAUAGUGUAUUAAUUUGUAGGGAAAAAAAACAUGUUGCCCAAGGUGUAAUUGAACCCACGACCUUUGGGUUGCAGACCUGUGUCAUUACCAACUGCACCACUGGGAAAGAGAGCGAGCGCCUGGAAAACAGGGUGAUGAGCAGUCAGAAUCAGAUUGCGGUGAGAGGCGAAAAACGCCGCUUUUUGCAGUUACAAAACGUCGUGUAACUCAAAAACUAGGUGGACU
ensembl:lncRNA